rnacentral:rRNA from 1 species
UACGUAGGUGGCAAGCGUUGUCCGGAUUUACUGGGCGUAAAGGAUGCGUAGGCGGACAUUUAAGUUCAGAUGUGAAAUACCCGAGCUUAACUUGGGUGCUGCAUUUGAAACUGGGUGUCUAGAGUGCAGGAGAGGUAAGUGGAAUUCCUAGUGUAGCGGUGAAAUGCGUAGGAGAUUAGGAAGAACACCAGUGGCGAAGGCGAGUCCCUGGACAACACCUGACACUGAGGCACGAAAGCUAGGGGAGCAAACAGG